rnacentral:rRNA from 1 species
AUUAAUGAGAAUUUUUUUCAGACCACCUCAGACCACAUUAGCUCUUCGAAGUUAAGCAAGGUCAGGCCUGGUCAGCACCUGAAUGGAAAACCUUCAGGGAAAUCAUGCUUCAGAAGGU